CUUGGUGAGAAUAGCUGCGGGGGUACACCUAGAUCCAUUCCGAACCUAGAAGUUAAGCCCGUAAACGCUGAAAGUACUUGGAGGGAAGCCUCCUGGGAGGAUAGGAACUCGCCAAGC
rnacentral:rRNA from 1 species